AUUGAACGCUGGCGGCAGGCUUAACACAUGCAAGUCGAGCGGGGUGAUGGUGCUUGCACUAUCACUUAUCGGCGGACGGGUGAGUAAUGCUUAGGAAUCUGCCUAUUAGUGGGGGACAACAUCUCGAAAGGGAUGCUAAUACCGCAUACGUCCUACGGGAGAAAGCAGGGGAUCACUUGUGACCUUGCGCUAAUAGAUGAGCCUAAGUCGGAUUAGCUAGUUGGUGGGGUAAAGGCCUACCAAGGCGACGAUCUGUAGCGGGUCUGAGAGGAUGAUCCGCCACACUGGGACUGAGACACGGCCCAGACUCCUACGGGAGGCAGCAGUGGGGAAUAUUGGACAAUGGGGGGAACCCUGAUCCAGCCAUGCCGCGUGUGUGAAGAAGGCCUUAUGGUUGUAAAGCACUUUAAGCGAGGAGGAGGCUCUUUUGGUUAAUACCCAAGAUGAGCGGAUGUUACUCGCAGAAUAAGCACCGGCUAACUCUGUGCCAGCCGCCGCGGUAA
rnacentral:rRNA from 1 species